ACCCACAGGAGCUGCCCUCAGGCAGCCAGCCUGGCCACCUCUUCUGCCACGGGAGCUCGCUUCUGUCACAGGCUGGAAGGAGCAAGAGGAGUCCUCCUGUCUCCAGCAGAAAGCUAAAAACAAAUGCUGGAAGCCCAGGAGUUGAUCAGUUCCCAUCUGAACAGGGCCCUCUGAAAGAUGCCCAAUGCACCGUUGCUGGAAGAUCAAAGGCAAAUGCAUAGUCACAGAAAUACUGGUCGAAAGAUGCCUGUGAAGGCCAUCAACUCCAGCCUUCCUCUGCAAGCAGACUGCUGGUGAAUCAGGUCAGCUGAGACACUGUUGAGACUUGGAAGUAUCCGCAGGCUGAGGCACCACAGCGUCUCCAGGCACGGUACAUCCUGGUUUUCCAGAAGAGUGCCACAGAGUAUUGGAGCCUGCCCAGCUCUAUGCUCCUUGAGUAGAGGUCCAGCAGAUGGAAGGGGUGAGCCAGGUAAAACUUCUCCAUAAACACAAGCCCUUUUGUCAGAGGAGAGUGAGACUGCAUCUCCCAGAAAGAAAAUGGCCUGUGGGAUAGCAAAGAAGCCAGGGAGGAGUUCAGCCCCACCUGUGCACCCAGUUUAAUGCCAGGCUGCAUCCACCAAACCACAGCAAUUCAUUGGUAGAUCAGGUGUUGCCCUGAUAAAAGCCAGCAGGGUUUGCUGAUCCAACAUCAUAAAACAGCACACAUUGGCAGCAUUGUGCAUAACAUCUGAAAGCUCUGAAAAUAAGUACACGCAUCUUAACACAUAGAUAAUGUUUAAAUGCCAUCCCCCAAAACAGGAAAAAAAAAAAAAAAGUAAAAUGAAGUCAAAACUCUGGGUUUUAGCUAUUAAAUUUUCUCAUCUGUCUUUCACUUGUUUCCAGUUAUCUGUGGUCUUUUAACAGCUCAGGCAGCAGCACAGGUAAGCAACAGCAUUGUGCUGGCUUGGUAAGUGCAGACAGUUCGGUAUUAGGAGUAUCAUACAUCUGUUUCAGUGUUUGGCCCUGCUUUCUUUGCUGCGUGAGCUCCAGCUCAUGUAUGUCUGAUAAUCAGGAUUGUACUUAAAAUCUGAAAAUAUAUAUUAUACAUGGGCAUGGAUGUAUUGUGAUGCAUCACACAAACCAUAUAUCAUUUACCUGGCCGGCCAUAAGGCCUAGAACACUAAUCCCUCUAAGUGGUGACCUUACAGACUUCUGAUGUGACUUGUGGCUGGCUGACAGCUGUGCAUGAGAGCAAAACCUCUGCUCUCCCCCUCAAGCACUCCCUAGGAAACCUCCAGCAGCAGGAUGGGUGAGACAAAUGCUCUGUCUCGUAGAAUGGCUUGGGUUGGAAGGGACCUUAAAGAUCACUGAGCUCCAGCUCCCUGCUGUGGCCAGGGUUGCCAACCGCUAGAUCAAGCACCUCGGCUACCUCAUAAGUCUUGGUAAUACAGCUCAGAAAUGGCACUAAUCCCAGCAAGAGAUACACAGUACAAGUAACACUGGUAGCUGUGCGCAGUGAGAUGAACAGCACUGAUCAAAGGCCAUGAGAUAAUGACUGAUAGAGCUGUGCCGCCCUUUUACAGCCAGGAGGAGGGUAACUAUUUAAACUGUUCUCAAGAAGUGAACUUCAGUCCGUAAGGGAAAAUCUUCAAUAAAGUCUUACAAAAUAAAUCAUCUGUUUAAAGUUUCACACUGCCAUGAAUGAAAGUCUGAAGUCAAUAGCAGAUCUAUUGUUAGAAAGUACUCUACUUUAUAUGCCAUGACAUUUCCUUAUGAUGGUAUACCAGACAACCAUCUUCAAGAAGUCUAUGAGAGCAGAACAUGAGAGCAGUUUAGCUUCUAGUGGAACAUGUCUGAGGCACACUGCUCUAAGAAAAUGCACGUUCACAAGAUGACAUUUUGAAUGUUUGCGUAGCCCAUUCACACAGAAGGAGCAUUCAGUAGGAACGUUGUGGCAGGGCUGCUCAGGGUACAAAUCUCAUUUCAGUGCUUCCUUUUGGGACCAGCCCAGUUCUGUUAUGCUCCCCACCUGCCACUGCUGUAUCCAAGCACGGGAGAAGCAGCUCCGGGCUGAGGCUUGGCUCACUGGUAAAGGACAAAAGGCACAUCCCAGCCUGGGUAAGUCCAUCUGGAAAAUAGCUAGAAUAUGACCAGAGAUAAGUAGGUUAAAUGACCAGAACACCAUUAGAGCGUAUGAUCCUUAAUUACUACUUCCAGAACACUUUGAUGUCCUUAGGGAGGGAGCAUAUAAAGUUCAAAAUGAGUGCUUAAUAAGUGAGAUUUUCAAAAGCAUUUAAAUAGCAAAGGAGUUCCAGAGACCGCUAAGUUCCAUGGGGAGCUUUGAAAUUCCCCCUCAAGAUAAUAAUUGUACGUCCCACUAUUUGUUAAAAAGCCUUUCUUCUGCAGCGAUAGCCUGUAUUACGUAUACACAUUCUGUAGUCAUGUUUUUGUUCUCUGACUAACUGAAAGCAUAGCCUCAGUGUAUCUCUCUGCGUGUUGUGCAAUAGCAGAUUUGGAAUUUGCAUUUUUUAGAUUACCAGACAAUAAAAAAAAAAAAAAAUAGAGAUUGCGUAGAUAUGCGCCACCCUUCAUUAAAGGCAGUGAUAUUCUCUCCCACCCAGCCCUGCCUAACCAACACAGUAUUGCACAUAUGCCUCCAGACAAUGAGACUACCACACCUUUAGCUUCUAAUUAAAAUUAUUAAGUCGAGAAGGAAAGAAAUGCAUUUUAGUCUGUGCUUGUUAGCCAAAUGUCUCGAUAAAACUGAACAUGUUCUGCUGCUGCCCACCAUCUGUUCUUAUAAAUACUUAUUAAAAACACUGAAUGGGAAAAUAAAUUUGUCAUCACUGACUUUCAGGGAUUUACACCAACUCUGCCCUCAGCUUCGUCUCUAAUGCAGGCUAAUAAACAUCUGUGGAACACGAUACAUUUUUUCCCAUUAAAAAUAUUUUGCAUUUGACAAACUUCAGUAGAAAAGAUUCCAAACCAACGCACGUAUGAAGCUGAAUACAUAGAGGAAUGAGGCCAUCUUUAAUGAGGAUGGUAAUCUAAUGGGGCAAUCUUGCUUUUCCUCUCUUGACCCAUUCCUUACAUAUUCUCAGUCUUUGCACUGCUGAAGAAGUCAACUACCGCAGAAGCACUACACCUCCCUGCCUUUCAUGAAGAGGGGCUUCAGCUUUGAGGCAUCAAAAAAAAUCUUAUUAAUUUCCCUCCACUGGUGGAAAUUCAAAUAUUUUGCAUUAAUGAAUUAAAAAAUAAAUAAAAAAUCAGACUUAACCAUAGCACCCAGUCCAAUCAUGAUUCUUCAUCUAUUGCACCUGAUAGAGUGAAGAAAUCCCAGCUGAUGCAGUGCAGCUAUCAGUAAAUAGGGGUUGACAAGAAUGUCAGUGCUGUUUCUCUUGCAGACUUCCUAAUGAACUUUAGGUCUAAUCAUCAUUCCCAGGCUCUCAUCAGGCAAUUUAAUUAACUUGCCAUCAGUGUCUUCUGUUGAAGCAGAUAAAACAUUAUAGGUACAAUGUUAUGGCCAGGUGCGAUGACAAAGCCAGUAGUAUUUGGAAAAUGAAGGAAAAGGGGACUUUCCUGAGAACACUGCUCAUCUCUAGAACCAUCAUUCUUUAGUGCCUGAAAGACAGAUAGUCCUCCCAGUCAAGACACAGUUCCCAAGACAGAAGUGCCUUUACAAGAGAGAUGAAGGAAUGGUACUAGAUAUCAACAUUGUCGGGGUCAGAAGGGGCUCAUAGGUACAGAUUUUCAUCCCAGAACCAAAAAGCAAGAAGCAAGUGCAGGAAAAGAGCAUGGAAGGAGAUUGACAUCUGUUUUCCCUUCACCGUCCUAAAGCAGCUCAGCAUCGGUUCCUGAGCAGCUGAGGAACCUCUGCUGUGGAGGCAAGAACCUUGGAGAGAAGGGCAGGGCACAUUUCCUGGCUAAAGUCAAAGGCACAAGGUGCUGGCCAACACUGAGAUGCCAAACUGGAGGCUGGUCCACCCACCAGAUCUCUAGGAUGUCUCUCGGAGAUUGUGCAGAUCCGAGCAGCAGCACAAAGCAUCGUGAAGUCAAAUGUAACAUUAAAAAUGCAUUCAGCAUGGUAAGUCAGGUAAGAGCAUUUGUAAUUGCGUGUUUUAUUAAUGUUGGGUUGGGUUUCUUUGAGGAGUUCUGGCUCAAGAAGAAAAAUGUAGUACUGGAGACUGCAUCUUUAAGUGCUGAAUCACCUCAGAAAGAGCCUGAAGAACAGAUUGCAAGUGCUUGCAUAUAUUGUCAGAUGGAUCUGCUAUAGGCAGGCUUGCUGUCAUGAAGACUGCAGUGUCUUGCUUUCACCACCAGUUUGUUUGUAAUUCUCAGCUGUGCUAAUAUAAGGGGAUUUGGGCCUGAUCAUUUCUACAUUCCAAAUAACCUUUGUGAAUUUCGCUGUGAUUUUUAUAUCGCAUACAUCUAAUUUUUCAAAGUAUCAGAAACUGGCAAUGGAGAACAUUUGGGAGCGAGCCUUGGCAGACUCAGCUGGCAGAGAACUGGCAUUUAACCUUGAAGAAAAGCAUAGGAGAGGAUCUGGUUGAACACUGUAGGAGGUGAGGUCCUGCUGAGACGCAGGACAGCAGCAGAGUUGUGAGACAUGCUGGCUUCUAUCUGGGGCUCCACAAUGUGUGCCUGGUAGCAGAAGGAAGGCUGCUAUCUUGCUGGGCUCGCACUCUCCUGUUCUUCCUCUCAUGAGCAGCUCCAAUGUCUAUAAGGAAAACAUUUGCUCUAGCCCACCAUUUAACAGAGGCACAUCCUCCUCAGAUUUUCUUCUGGCUUCCAGCUUCUUUUAAGGGUUGAAGUGUAGGAGAUAACAAGGAGAAGGCCAUGCAGUCGAAUUCUACUGUCCUAGUCACAGAAAUGGAUAAAACUGAAUUAUUUUAAAUGGCAAAAGACUGAAUGAGUUUAAUGAAAAUUGAUUUUUUAGCUCAAAUGCAGCAGUGUAUAAAUGUGUGAGCUUGACAGAUCCAUCAUGGCCAAACCUGGCCCUGGGUGCUACAGUCAGUCCUUGAGUUACUUCUGUGCAGCACCGCUUCUGUGUCUGGGAAGAGUAGACAUUGGUUUGCUGGGUCUCAUUAGCUUGGACUCAGUAAGGAACUUUCUGGACCCGCUUCAGCCCCACACAAAGCCACCUCCUGAGACUGUGGUCCAUUAAUCAAAGAAGCUGGUAGCUCAUUCAGAGGCAGUGAAGAUGACUGGUCCCCUUUACACCACAUUUGUUGAGGAACCUCUGCAUAAAUCACAGAAGGACAGCAUCCAGCACAUCUGUCACAUCUUUUCUCAGUAGGAGAAACUCCUUUUCCACAAUGCAGCCCGUGCAUUCCCUCUGUAAUCUUUAUAGAGGGAACUAUUCACACAGCUGGUGUACAGCUGCUACCUAUAAAGAACACACAUCUCAGUGCAAACAAAACAGUAAAUUGUUUAGCUGUAUAAAGUGACAACCUAAUGAACAGAUUCUCCAUUCCUGUGUUUUCAUUCCUGAGUAUCUGCUUAUAUCUGGAAACAUUUAUGGUGUUCAGGAUGAUUUGUAACUGUUUGAAAUACCUGCUUUAAGGUCUAUGUUUUUCUCAAGGAAAAAGCAGCAGCUUGUUAUUCUCUGUAUGACUCUUUGCUUGGGUGAUGUUGCAGGUUUAAACAGGAAUUAGGAAAACUGCAUGGGAACACUGAACGUAUAGAUGGAAAUGAUGCAGUGGGAUAUUAUUUAAUUAGCCUACCAGAGAGCCAAAUGCCACAAAGGCUUACAGGGCUAUCUCUCUAUUUCUGAAUAGACACAAGGACAAAUGUUUUCAUACUGAGGGUGGUCAAGCACUAGAACAGGUUGCCCAGAAAAGCUGUGGUGUCUCAAUUUCUGCAUUUACCCAAGAUUUAUGCUGAUGUGUCUGGGGGCAGCAUGCUGUAUGUAGCUCUACUUUGAGCAAGAGGUUGGAGUGAAUGAAUCUUCAAGUCUCUCCUUAUCUACAUUAGCAAACAUUUCUAUGAAACCCAGCCAGCCCAUCUCUGUAUCCUGGGGUGCUCACGAAGGAAUGCAGCUAGGGAUACUCAUUUAUUUGGAAUUCAUCUUCAAUACAUUUAUCCUGAAGAAAAGUCCUGCAACCGUUUCCUAGGAAAAGAAAAAGCAAGGACUGCCGUUUCUUUUAAAGCUUGUGGCUAUGGUGAUGCCCUAUCCGAGCCCUAUGUGUCCCCGCUGGCUAAAGCUCUUGCCCAAGAAAUAGCUAUCCUUAGUGCCAUCCUUAACCUGAGAGGUUCAAAUGCAUGUAUUCUUCUCGUAGAGGGAAUUUUUACAUCUGUCUUUUGUGGACUGUCUUUUGCAAGGACUCAGAGGUGGGAAUGGCCAUGGAGCACCUGUACUUUGCCCCUUUUCUAGCAUUGCUUCAGCCACUGGACUGCAGUCACUCUGUCCCUGCUUGCUCUCCUUCUGGCCCUUUGAGCAAUGUAUAAUUUAUUCCACCAGGGCCCAUCUUCAACAGCAAGCUCUGAGUUUCUUCCCCUCCCACAGCUGUCCUGCUCAUUAGGCUGCUUGCUUGGGAAACAUCAACUUGGGCUUCUCUAGGGUGAGGAACACCUAAUAUUGAGGUUUCACUGUGCAGGCAGGCACCCUAACCACCUCACCAUUAAUGAGAAAAAACACACAGUAGCGCCAUCCCCAUCAUAACCAAGACAUAAUUUCAAAGAGCUUAGCCUCUGUGGAGCACUGCGGGCAGCUGAAUGCCGUCUGUGGGUGUUAGGUGUGCUCUGGGAACAGCAGUGGGCUGGGCUGCAAGGGAGCAGGGCCUGGAGCUGCCAGCUUCCCACAUCCCGCCCUUCCCGGGCAGGCAGCCAUGCAGGCCGUGGUGCUCCUGGCUGUGCACCAAACAGCUGGAGGUGCCCCCAGAAGGCAGGAGCCCACCUCGUGAGCUCAGACCCGAGCUUUGGGAGCUUAGUUUAGCUGUGCUACUUAAUUUGGUCUUUGCACUCUGCCAUCCAACUACAUUGAAACCAGACCUGAGCUGCUUCAAGGAGCAGCAGAGCUGCUUCUGGAUAUUACUCUUAAACCAGUAAAUGCAGUUGAACCCCAGCUGGCUCAGCCGUCCCAUAGAAAAGUCCCCCAGAACACCAGCCUGAUGAGGUACGUCGCCCAGUUUGCGGUAUAAACAUCUGGCAGAAAAAUGUCAGGGUCUGCUAUCUGCAGGCUCCUUCUAAAAUACUCAGACAUCUAAUACAAGCUGAGUGUAUGCCUCUAAGCUCAGGAACCUGCAUUAAGUUUUCUGAGUACUUACGAUGGGCUGCAUUUCUCCUCUCAUGCAACAACUUCUGGCUACCAUAGGACACACGGGUGCAGGCAUGUAACAUGUUCUGCAGCUGUCCAUGACCACCAGCAGGUCAGAGGGCUUCCCUGAGGACUUCACAAGGGCUCUGGGCUGCUCCUUCCCUUGUUUGCAGGCAGGUAUGAGCAGAGAGCUCUGCGCACUCCUCCAGCGUCAGCACUUAGUCUUGAAAAGUGCCCCUAAGAGUGGGGUGUUUGCAGACCUUCCUGUAACACAACCCUUCUCACAGGCAUAACUCAGGAAAUGCGUGUGCAAAUUUGGUCUCAGUCUUUAUUCUGUUGUAAAGCAUUUUUCUGCUUCAAAACAAUUCCAUCCAGGUGUCCUGAAUAACAUGGGGAUAUGCAGGAACCAUAAUGUUCCUCUCCAAGUAUAAUUGUCCUUCCCUUCUUCUACACUGUCCGCUGAUCUCCAUGCUGCACACAGAGCAGGAGGCUGGGCAUGCAACCCAAGAACAUAUUUACUGCUUUAAGGUGCUUAGCAAAAUCCUGAUUAUUGGAAGUAUAUGCACUGAAUUAAUCGUAUGACACAAUGAAGUCUCUGCCGUGCCUACCCCUUACUCCUGAUAGUAACUUAUAUCAAAAUACACGAAUAUUCUCCCUUUAAUCCUUAUACAUUUUCCAUUAAAGCCAACGGAAGCUUUUCCAUUGAUUUAACUCUAUAAAAUGCCUUCUGAAAUACCCACACAUGGCUACUUUAUAGCUAACUACAGUAUAUGGUUAUAUAUACAUUUUAUGUAGUUUUACAGUAAUAACCAGAUACUUAUGUAGUGUAGUUAACUAUAAUAUAGAUAAAUAGCAGCUAUAGCUCAUUUUAGCAGGAAAAGGAAUAUUAACUUCUUACUGGAAUGAUUUAGCAUUUGCUGGUGAUUUAAGAGCACCGCCUGUCUGCUGUGCUCAGAAAUCGAGUGCAGGCUGAGAAACUGACUGAAUAGCACAGAAGUUAAAGCAUAGGACUAAAUUGGUUUGCAAAUCUUUUGGCCAGUCUUGAACAGGAAGCAAAGAGUCAAAUGCGUUUUGCUAAUCCCAUAGCUGAUUCAAUGCUAAGGCAUAUUUCUUCAUGCUGUACAGAGAGAUCUCUGGAGCACAUCCAUUUUGUCCGCUGCACCAGAACAGAAUCCAUCCAUGUGUGGCAGAUGUUGGUCUAAUCUAUUCUUACAGACCUCCAGUGUGGGAGAUUUGCAACAUAGCCUGCCUGGUGUUUAUCCCCUGGAUAGGAUCGGUUGUUUUCAUAUAUAAUGUAAAUCUUCCUUUUUGAAAAUUAGACUCUUGUUUUAUACCCUUCCCAGUGGACAUGUUGAACAUUUAAUUACUCACUGAUCUCUUUAAAACAGCCUUUAAGUGGUACCAACAUUUUUCCAUUUCACAGUGCAGGAUGCUGAUUUACACCAGCUGAGCAGCUGGUCUACAGUUUUAAGAGACCCAUUCUACAGGCCCCAGACACAUCAGGGUACUGGUGGUGGAAAUCAAGAUUUAUGCUUUUAUGUUCAAGUGUUUCAUGAUUCUAAUGCACUUAUAUUUGAUAACAACAAUAAGUAAGUGUGAGUUUACACCCGUGAUGGUGAACUGUAGAAACCAACUGUCUGAGGAUGGUAGACAGCAAGAUGGGUAUUGCACUCACAGAAAAAACUCCAGGUCAUUCUGUCAUCACGUUCUCACCUUUGCUCCCUCUAACACUGUUAAAUAUAAGUCAAAAGCAAAGGAGAGAGAAACAGAACUAAUACUUUGUUUCCUACUAAGCAACCUGAGGCGAAAGAUUGUUGAAGUUUUUCAGCAUCACACAACAAGAUUUUUAAUUCCAGCCAUGAUCUUAGCUGAAGAAUGUUUCUUACAGAUGCCCAAUGCAUUACUUUUAUGUAAGUGGUCCAUUUGUAGAAAAUUCUUACAACCAUGACUAGUUUGGCAUCAACAGUGGCUACUCUAGACUACAAGACAUGGAAAAAAAAAAAAUUUCCACUCAUAACAGCUUAGAAAUCAGUGCUCCUGGGAAUCCUGUUCACAAGGAAAGCAACACAGCAGCAACUGAUUUAUUCUUAAUGACUUGGAGAUUUAUCUUGAACUCAUUACCUGAAAUAACUCAGAACCAGAUGGCCUGGAUACACAGCUGAAAGUUGUGUGACCAAGAUUAGGCUCUGCCACACCUCAUGCCUACUGUGUGGGAUGUAAUGAUAAUGCCUCUGGUUGUUGUAGGGAAGGGGAAGAUGGGAGAAACUAUGAGGAGAGUGAAAAUACAAAUAAGCAAAAAAUAGCAUCGGUAUAAGAUCCUUCUGAUAUACUCAAAACACAGUAACAAACCGUGCUGCUCUCUUCUGGACUGGUACAGCUUGUUCUGAAGGUCAGUGAAUACAAGGCACAAAAUAGACUGAAAAAGAAGAAGAUCCAGAUGGAAGGAAAAUGUGUCUCAGGGACAGGACCAUGUAAACAAGAGAAUGGAACUCAGACAGGAAUGAACUGAAACCCUGGGAAAUCAUAGAAACAUAAAAUGGUUUACACUGGAGGGGACCAUAAAGAUGGUCUAGUUCCAAGCCCCCUGCCAUGGGCAGUGUUGCCAGUCACCAGAUUAGGCUGCCCAGGGCCCCAUCCAACCUAGUAUUCAAUGCCUCCAGAGAUAGGGCAUCCAUAACUUCUCUGGGCAACCUGUUCCAGUGCCUCACCACCCUCUGAGUGAAGAAUAUCUUCCUAACAUCUAACGUAAACCUCCCCUCUUUCAGUUUAAAUCCAUUCCCCUUGUCCUAUCGCUAUCUACCUGCAUAAGAAGUUGAUCCCAAUCCUGCCUGUUAGCUCCUUUCAAGUAUUGGAAGAUUGCAAUAAGGUCUUCCCGGAGCCUUUUGUUCUCCAAGCUAAACAACCCCAAUUCCCUCAACCUUUCUUCAUAAGAGAGGUGCUCCAGUUCAUCUUCAUGGUCCUCCUCUGGACUCCAUCCAACAUCUCCACACCCCUCCUGUACUGGGAGCCCCAGGACUGGAUGCAGUACUCCAGAUGGGACCUCAGGAGGGCAGUGCAGAGAGGGACAAUCACCUGCCUCUCCUUGCUGGCUGCCCCUCUUUUGAUGCAGCCCAGGAUACUGUUGGCAAUAAUAAAUAAAUGUAAUGCUGACAGUUACCAGAGAUACCACCUCAUUAGCUGCACUGAGCUCCUGAUGCUUAUACCAUACAAAGCUUUCAGGAUUCACAAGUGAAGAAUCUCUCUGAGUUUAUCAGACCAUUUGUGACCCUGCCUCAUGCCAUCCUGGUUGUUGAGACGCUCAGCAUGGAGCACAGCCAAUGGAACCAUGCUCUUUGGAGGAUGUGCCCAGUGUGGGAAGAGGUGGUGUCCACCUUGUGUACCCAGUACUGUCUCAGGAUAGGAGCACUGUGUGCUACCAUCUUUUUAAGUAGGAGUGCUUUUUUAAAGAGCACAGCCACCAGUUCCCCAGAAAAUGCAUGAUCUGUGGGCUUAGUGCCUGGGCUCAGGGGCACUGAGACACAAUCCAUAAGAGCAACCAAGGGUUGGUCUGUACCCUGAUGAAACGGGGAGAGACGUGGAGCAAGAAGAUCAGUCCCUCUUCCAUAGCACUUCUUAUAUAGGUUAUAACAAAACACAUCAGGUAAAUAAGGCAAACAUGAGGUAAGGGUGGAAGUGAUAAAAUGAGGUGACAGUGACCCAAAUACAUCAUCAAAUAAUGAGCCUCUCUGCCUUUCUAGGCACUGUUACAUGGGACUGCUUUUGAGGCAACAAUAACAGGAAAGGGGAAGGGGUAUGGAGUAAUUAGGAAGGAACAGUUUCAUGAACUUUAACUGGGAGUUUGCCACUAUUUCCAGUGUCAGAGACAGCGUAAAGAUGGUUGACAAAGAAGCCAACAGAGAAGCAGUGUAAGGAAGCCUUAGCUUCUGGGUUGGUGGUAACCUAGGAGAGUUAAAUGGAAGGAGGUUUCUCUUGGGCUUCUUGGGCAGAUUGCUUGCCCUAGGAAUCAGUGAGUGAGCAGAACAAUCAGUAUAGUAGGUGUGCUUGCUAAGCGUUAUAGGAAAAACAACAACGUUUUGCUUAGGCAUAGACAUAAAUUAACAUAUAGAAGAAAGAUUUGAAAGUAGACAGCUGUUACUUGAUUUUUCUCUGAAUUGGGUCUACCAGCAGAGGACAGGAAAUUGUCCUCCAGAUCAGAGUUCUGCCCUGUUUUAUCAGUGCUUCUUCAUGUGAUAACAGUAUUUCUCAGACAACAAACAGGGUUAUAGUGAGUACUCAGGCUGCCAGUGCCCUACAGAAACUCAAAGAGAAGUGCUGAAGAAGUAAAUAAAGAACAAAGAAAGCUUUGACAUGCUGCAUGGCUUAGGAGUAAUGGAAGAACAAAGUAACAAAGCAAAGGAUAAAGGCGAAGAGGAAGGGAAAUGUAUUUGAUGACUAUCAGGCUAAAUCAGAGAUUUUGUUAAAAGGGUUGAGCCAGAUUUGUAGAACACAUCGGGAUGAAGUCAGAGCAGAGGGAUUAAUUAAUGAGAUGUAGUCUCAGGUUAGAAAUACAUGCCACUGAGAGUGAGUGGUAGAGGAGGAGAGCCAGAAGGCAAGGCAAGGAGGUGCAAGGUGAUAGCAGGUGUGAUGUACAUCACAACAACAUGCAGUAGGAAGGACAGAGAGAAGAUAUGAAGUGAACUGAUAAAAGCAAGGACAACAUGACAGCUAAAGGGAAAGGAGCCAUUAGUUUUUGUUCAGCUUGCCUCCUGUGUAGAGGCUAUUUUUCCUAUUUAUCCUAAAACAGGAUUUUACCUUCUGUUUUCCAUGUAUUUGUUGCUCAACUUGUGAAGUGUCUUCACAGACAGCAGCUUUUGUUAAAGUUGCCUAACAUUGCCCUCUGUGCUGCCAAUACUGAGGGCCCUCAGUAAAUGCACUAGUAAAAUUUUCUAAUGGCUGUGUGUAUCUGGGUGAAGUCAUGAAGAACUGCUGUUACUGAGAAGAGAAAGCACAGACGGUGUGGGAACUGCUGAAAAGCAAUCAUAUUUUAGUGGUUUAACUAUGCUUCUUCUCCUGGUACUAAAAGCUGUCUGAUAUGUCACAUUUACAAAGGACUAAAAACAAAAGGCUGUAGCCAAAAGGUUGUUUCCUGAACUAGUGCAGAAAAGAAGAAUUUUAAAAUGCUGAUUCAUAGCCUUUGCCAUUGUAACUGUGUAAAUCACGUUACCGAUCUCAUCAGAUCCCCUCUCUCCCUAUCCCAGGCUUCUGGCUUCCACAACUCCUGCAGUGGGGCCCCGUGACUCUCCCAAGCUCAGGUUUCCUGUGGUCAGCCAGGAUUGCCUCAUGGUCCUGAGUCAUCUCCAGUUCUUCUGACUCCAGGAGCAGAGCAGUAUCCAUCCCCAAGCAGCCUUGCUAGAGCAGAGCCUGAUUUGCUUAGAACAAAGACAGGACAGAAAAAAUGGACCCACAACAGAAGACAUACCUAUUAGAGUCGGCCUGCAUGCCUCCCACCAAGGCUGUGCUGGCUCUCCUCCAGGCUCUCUCAGCACAGCCUCUCCUUGCAUCAUCCUCUGCCCAGUGGCAGCUCCUGACAGCUGCCUGUUCCCUCCUAGGAACAGGAUUUCUGAGUGUCUAAACUGGCAAAAUAGAGCCUGAAGUUUUUCACUUGAGCAGGAUGCUCAAACGAAUAAGCUUUUCAGUGCCUGCCAGGAUACUCUGUCUGGAAAGUCACUGUACAGACUGACAUGCUUUUUUCUUCCCACAGUCCUACUUAAUUAGAGCAAUGCUGGCUACCCAGGAAGCGUUCUCUUACACUUCUAGAAGUCAAGCAGAUUAGCUUAAUUUCCAUGAGUACAUACAUUUGUAUUGCUGAGAACAUGCUGAAGACCAAGCUAGCACUGAGCUGAUCUGGCAAGUCCACACAGCACAGCAAAGUACCGUGUAGAUAUGACAAGUGGGACUGAGAAGCAGAAUAAUCCUGUUCAGCUGGCACAGCACUCAGGGCUAUAUUGCUUCUGUUUCAGUGCUGGCUUGCAAAGAGCCUCUGCACCGUGUUUCCCAGCUCUUCAGGCUGUGGGAGUAAACUGAGCAGCACCAGCCUGGAUGUCUUUGUGCACACCCUAAGUUGCAGAUCAGAUUCCUAGAUUAUUACAUAGCUACUCCACUCUACCACAGCCUCUGUCUUUUAAUCAGUGAGAAAAUGUCCUUUAGAAGGAUCCAUUUUACCUCCAUCUUGUUACACUUCUGCUGUGAGACACUUACAACCUCUACUUUGGUGCAUUGAUUUAUUUAAGCCUAUCCUCGAGAGAGUCAUAUAAGACCUUAGAUGCCUCCACUUAUCCUGAUCUCUUUCUUCCCUUCAACGUAUCACAAAGCCUUUUUGAGAAAUAGCUAUACAACAGUUAUUUUACUAAUAUAGAAUUAAGAUUUGGUGCUAGAUAUGGUAUGAUAGACAGUUUUGGUAGCAUCCUAUAUUAGUUACCCUAAAUUCAAGAAAACAUUCCUUCUAGCAGGUCCUAGCAGAGCAAAGAACAGCCAGCAUGAGAAAAUUAGCCAUCUUGCAAAGUUUUGUAGCACUGAUUAUGUUCUUGAAAAGGGGCCAGCACUCCAUCCCAUCUACUUGUAAAUGUUCUGCAGUUAUUAUACUCUUAAUAACUCAAGACUGAUGGAUGAGUGUAAGGUUGGGCAGCUUUGUUUGAUAGCCUAAGGGAGGGAUAGGGGGGGAGGGAAGGAACAAGUAUCAGCAAAUAGAUUGUGCAUCAGACAAAUAAAGAGGGUUACACAAUACACUGUAUUUUAAAAUAAGUCUUCUCAAAUGCUGUCAUUGCCACCAAUUGAUGCUGCUUAGAAGAAUUCACCAGUUAAUGCUGCUAUAAUCCUACCAAUAAAUUAAUUUGAAGAGAGACAAAUGGGUCCAAAUCAUUGACUCUGAUGGUGCUUAAAGGAGUGUAAAAAAUGCAGAACAGUAUUUUCAAUGCUUCAUUUUCUGAAGUGAUGCUCCCUUCUAAAAAGAGAUAUUCCCCUUAUUCCUGUCUCCCUUAUUAGCUUGAAGAGAAUGGGAGAUUUCAAACAUGAAGUGAGACUUCAGAGUUUUUCACACUUUGAAGUCGCUUCGCUAACACUUCAUACAAACCUUUUCUUAAUUGUUUAAUUAAAUGAUUGCAGCCCCCUUAGAGGUACAGAGCAAAAAAUUUAAUGUUUGAAAAUUUCACGAGUGAGAAAUGUUAGGUUUAAAUUUGGUAGAAAUAGGUACUGCCCCUCCACUUGGUGAAUACUGUCAAGAUUGUCAAUGUUCAUUUGAAAUCUGUUAUGAAUUAUUCUAGUAACUAUCAAUUAAUUACCUUCUGCUUGUAGAAAAUGACAUAAAAGUGCUUUCUUUUUCACCUCUGGUCACCUCUAAUCCAUUCCUGCUUCCAUUUCUUCUACUUGCAGAAUCAGCAUCUGUCUCAUUCUAUUAUCAGCAGUUAACAAGACAUACAAGUAAUGAAAACUCUACUAUUUAUUUAUUUAUUUAUUUUAAAUCUGAAGCAUGAUUUUUGCAACAGAGAAUGUGUGGAAGAAUUAUGAGAAUCAUAAUAAUUUCAGAUUUACAUGUAUGUAAUCCAACAAAUGUUAAGGACAAAGUAUAUGGUCACGCAUAAUGUAGCUCAUAGAUCAUCAGAUUCAUCAACCAGCCCUCCAGCGAGAAAGUGAGCACCUAAAAGUCCUUUUGAUGUUUGGGCUGGGCUCAGUAUUUCACAUAAUUAAUACACUUCUUUUCAAAACCAGCGAACAGAGUAUUCAUGCAUUGAUGAAGGACAGGCAUUCACAAUGGGUACUCAAACAUACACUUAUUAAAAUCAACAUUUAAUUGCCUAUUGACCUGAGUUGUGAUCAGCAGGCUUUGAAUGUAUGAGAACAUCCAUGUGAAAACAUCCAUCUGAGAACAUUCCAUUGAAGCACAAUGGAGGAAAGCAUUUUUUGCAGAGUCUGAGGCCACUGUUUGGCUACCCACACAAGGCCGCUAUCAGCUAGGCCAGCCUGCACUUCUGUAGUAACUCUGAGCUCAUGACUGACAAGAAUCACAUAGAGGAGCACAGUGAGGCCUUUGCCAGUCUCCUUGGUGGGAAAACUUCACCUGACAUCCUCCCUGUCUGGGGCCUGAGGACAUGCUCUUCCAGGUCAUGAUUUCAAAUUCCUGGUAUUACAGAACAUUGUAGCAGAGCAAGGGCUGCUCCGAAGGAAUCCAACCUAUUCCUUGCUAUCUAUCUUAGUCAUCCACAGCACUUCAGAUCCAAUUCAGACUCUUCAUCUUGCAGCCAAAGCAAAAGGCCACUGAAAGCUGCAGAGUAAAGUCUGUGAUCAGCCUUGGUGCUCACAGCCACAGUCCUCUGAGAUACAGUAAUUUCUGUGGUAAGCAAAAAUUCAUGUGGGAAGAAGAUAGAACUUUUUUAGAGCUCUGAAUUUGCAGAAUUAACUUUCCAAGGAGCUAAAGGCCACCAAAAACCAUAGAACUUUCUGCUCCCACUGUUUCACAGAAUCACAGAAUCAUUGAGGUUGGAAAAGACCAGUAAGAUCAUCUAGACAACUCAUCAAUCCAUCACCACCGUGCCCGCUAACCAUGUCCCUCAGUGCCACAUCUGCACAUUUCUCGAACAUCUCCAGGGACACUGACUCCACCACCUCCCUCAACAGCCUGUUCUAACACAUUACCACUCUUCCCAAGAAGAAAUUGUUCCUAGUAACCAACCUGGUAUUAUUUUACUUAUCUUACCACAGUUUUUCUCACUUAGAAGGUCCAAGUAGGCUUGUUGCAGAGAAAGCAUUGAAACAGUAUUUAGAAUUGAUCACUAAUGGUGGUGAUGGGUUGGUGGUUGGACUAGAUAAUCUUAGUGGUCUUUUCCAACUGUUAUGAUUCUAUGAUUCUAUGACUGGGGAGCCUACACAGAACAGAAUACAGUGCCAAUACGAACUAGCUGAAGGUGCAUAUGCAAACUGCAAAUCAACAAUUAUGUUACAGUGCAUCAGUCACACCAACGUGAGAACUGGUUUUACUCAUAUUUUUUCCAUCUAAGUAGACUGGGAGCAGAGAGCAAGACUUACAUUUACUUUUUGGGGUGUGGGCGCAGAAAGGUUUAGACAAAAUGUUGUCAGAGUACUUGCAUAAGUGUCCUAAUAUGAAUCCAACUGCCUUCUGCUAAGUACCCAAUUAAAGCCUCUGUGAAGCUUCGUUUAGAACUCAGUGGUUCCUCAGUCCUACACCACGUUUCUUUCAUCCCUCAUUAUAAUAAUACUGAAUAUUAUAGCGCCAAGUAAUCUAGUAAUUACAGUUUUCCUUUUCAAAUCUACUGGAGUUCACUGAAGCAGUUGGCAUUAAAUCAAUCCUGAGAUUUCUCAAAAGCAAACCAACUUGCUAAAUAUCCUUAUGUGCAAAUGCAUUUACUCACAUAAACAGUUUAAAACUAAUUUCUGAAAAACAUCAUGUGAAUUGUGUUGUGUCAAACCUGAAAGAAGUUUGACUGCCUCAUCAUUAUACACAGAGAAUCCUGCUUGGGCAAUAAUAUCAUCCCUUUCUUUCUAAGGAGGCCUGUUUGACUUGACAAAACAUGUGUUGUCAAAUACAUGACGGAGACAGAUGAUUCAGGAGAUAACAAGCAGUCACACAGUCUGCAAUUCAUGUAACUACCAAAUACCCACAAAACUUUUAUUUUUAUGCAAUAAUUCUUAUGAAUUUGUUUUUUCAAUGCAUUCAUCAUUGCAGAAGUAGUUCAUCAGUUACGACAAUGCCAAAAUAAAGGAUAUGAGGAAGAGUGUGCAGAUGUCCUGCCAUUUGUACACUGAGCCCUAGCUCUCCUGCUUGUCACACUCUAGGCUUGGUAGAAAUUGAGAUAUAAAAUAAAUAGGAAGGAUUAGGAUAAGGCAUUGGAGUUUUGUAUAUGAAGGCUUCCUGCAGCCAGAUUAUACACAUUAAAAAUAAUCAUUUUGGUGUAGAAUUACUUCCUAGAAGCUAAGUAGCACUCAGACUGUAAGAAAAGCAGCAAGCUGGAAAAGCCAGGGAAAGUAUAGCAUUUCUGAGAGCAUAUCUGCAGACUUGUGCUUGAGCUGCAUAGUCAGGUUGGUCACAGUGGAGCUGCUUGGACCCACAGAGCAGAUGUUAAGUCACACCAUGGCUGUUUUGUAACAUCACUGCUGAACAAUUUCUGAACAAUUUCACUUAGAAUCAUAGAACCGUUGGUGCUGGAAAAGACCACUAAGAUUAUCGAGUCCAACUGUUGACCCAUCCCCAUCAUGCUCACUGAUCAUGUCCCUCAGUGCCACACUCACACAUUUUUUGAACACCUCCAGGGAUGGUGACUCCACCACCUCCCUGGGCAGCCUGUUCCUAUGCUUCACCACUCCUUCUGAGAAUAAUUUUUUCCUAAUAUCUAACCUGAUCCACCCCUGGCACAAAUUAAAGCCAUUACAUCUCAUCCCUGUGUCAACAUUGUGACUAUGAGCACUUGAACAUAUGUGUAUUCCUAAACAAAUCCAAAUGACCAGCUUGUGUUCUAUGUGUGAGAGCACUUGUAGGUAGAUGUAUGUAUAUAGAUACUUACGUUUGCUUCCUUGCUACCCUCCUUAUCCCUCUUAUCUUGCAUUUAACAAAUCUCCAGUACUAUGUACGUAAAACAAAAUAACAAAAUCACGAGAAAAACCUGACACUUGUAAACUCUUGAUGUUUUGUUGUUGUUGUUGUUGUUGUUGUUUUCUUUUACAGCGUAUCCUUCUACCUAGAUUCCUUUGAAAAUCAGAGCUCAUCUGGGACAAGUAUGACUCCAUCAUGUAUGUGAGUAUAUAGCGAACACUGUUGAACUUGUUGGAGACCUUUAACGUUAUCAAAAUACAACUAAUAGUAAUUAAUAUUUACUUGUCAUAUAGCCUCUCCAAUGAAGAACUAAAAUCAAAAUUAUAACCCUUCUGGGAAUAUGCCAAAGCUGAAGGAAAAGCUAGAAGCACACUAUUCUGUAAUCAGGUCAACUUACCUCAUAGCACUUGCUGUAAAAAUAUGAAUUACGUUAUGUUCCUUUGGCAUUUCUGUGGUUGCCAAUUAUAUUCAAACAUUGUAAGGAGCCUUGCAAACAAUUUGGAUGGAUUCAUGGCUUGCAGUAAGAAUGGCUGUACCCACAGAGCAAGCCUGUGCCAUAGCAAACUCCUCUGCGUUGGUCCUGGCUACAUCCCAGCAGUACCACAAGGCAAGGCCUGGGGGUCACCAGCUCCUGCCUGAGGAAAGCCCACAAAGCAAAUAGAAAGGGAAAUACUGCAGAGCACAGCCCAUCAGCAGUGGGUGACAUGCAGCUGCAAGCACUUAGUCCCUCAGGAGCAGGAUUAACCAAAUCAGUGGUUCUUGGGACAAUGAUGAUGGACUUUGGGUUUAGUAGGGAAAGUGCUGGUGACAGGUAUAAUGGAAUCAUAGUUUAAAUAUAGGAGAACUACAUGCUAUUUCUCUUUUUCCUUUUUUUUUUUUUUUUAAUACAUCGGUAUGUAAAUGGAAAGUCUGGACUGCUGUUAUAGUUUAAUUUCUUCAAAUGGCUGGAGAUCCCAAAACUUUUUAUUUCUUCAGCUGCUUCAUAUACACAUUUGCACACACAACUUUGGAUGCUUGGUAUCUUUGAAAUUCAGGUCAUAUCCACUUGAUAGGCAUGUUUGGGCCUAAUUUUUACUUAUCUUUUAAAAAAUAAAUUUUGGUAAUAGUCUUCAGAAGUAGGAAAAUAGUGAGAAAUUUCUACUGUCAUGCAUGUUCUCACUUUACAGCCAAUCUGAAGUCUACAUGUUCAAAUAAAUCAGUGCUCAAGGACAUUGCUGUCUUCUUCAGGCUUAGGGAGUUAUGCCCAGGCCCAGGAGGUGUGUUUAGGUGCCUAAUGACCAGUGUAUUCCAUAGAUGUUUAAAUAUUAUCACUUAACCAGGACCUGCAUCCAUCUCUGGGCAGAAACAGACAGGAAAUUUUUUAUAUCUAUCUAUCUAUCUAUCUAUUUUUAUAUCUAUUGAGGUAGACAAAAACUUCUACUUGGGACCCUUCUCAGCACUGCUGCAAGGUACAGGGUGGGGUGGAUAGGACGAAAGGGUUCAUCAGCUGGGAUUGCCUCCCACAGCCAAACAGGGCCACAGCUCUCAGGCUGCUCAGGACAUGCACAGAACAAAACCUGCAGCAGCAUGUGCCCAGGAGAGCUCUGCUGUUUCCAAACACGCUGCAACAGCUGCAGAUGCCGCCCAGACACAGCACAGUGCCCAUCUUGCUCCCUUACCACAUGGUACGGACCCUGCUGCUUCUUGAAACUGCCCACGUGCUUGUACAAACCUGUACUUUGCAAAUGCUCACACACGGUGCAUGCAUGAAUUAUUCCCAGGUAUCUGUAAAAUUUAGUUUUGAAAACUGUAAAAUAAUGGCCUGACAACAAGCUGGUCAUAUUUUCCAUGGUUCAUUUACCUCAAACAAACUGAAGGAUCAGCAAAUGUUUUGUAUUAACUUAUUGUUGAGCCAUCCUUGAUUAAGAAAUCGGUUCUUCCUGAAACUUUAUCUGGGAGUGGUCAGGUCUCCACACAGCAUUUCUGCUGCUUUCCUGAGCAAUGGAAGGACCGACACCAGCAAAGAUGGACAACACUUGAGUACUGCCAUCUGUGAUACAAUCAACAGAGCCCCACAGCACUGUUGUUUGGAUCAUUUGGUGCCCAGUUCUGCUCCCACCGAGUUCACAAGAGUUUGUGAUGGGGCAUGUUCAGGCUUCCAGUGUAUUAGUAAUAAUGCUAAUGAUAUUGUAUGCUUUGCCUGCAUUACAGUCUGGUGCUUAGAAAAUAAACAUCUCGGCUUUGC